UUUCUGCAUUAAUUUUCUUAGGAUAAUGGCCUCCAGCUUCAUCCAUAUUGCUGCAAAAAAAUGUGAUUUUAAUGUUUUUUAUGGCUGAGUAUACUUUCAGUCCAAUUAGAUUAUUUCCUUUCUGCAAGAAUCAUUGUCCAUUUUUAACAUUCAGUUGAGUCUAGGAAACUUGCAUAAUUUUUAUUCCACAUUUUUCUUCUUGAAAAAAAGACUUGGACUUUCUAAUUCCAUCUUAGCCUAGUGGAUAGAGUAAAUACUCCGGAAAUAAAAAGUGCCAGACAAGGGUCUUUAGUAGAAUGAGGAGCAUGGCACAGAGAGAACCUUCUUCAAUGAUGCUACAAAUCUUCAGUAAAAACUCCCAUGUGCGCUCCCGCACACACAAACACACAAACACACACACUCUUACUUAUUUGGAUUUCUUGUUAAAGAUUAUUAUUUUGUAGCUAGAUAAUAAUGGAACAAAACAGUCAGUGUGUGUGGUGGAGAGAACUGAUUGUAUCUGUAAUGCAUGAGCGUUAACUAGAGUCAUUCAUGUACAAAGGUUAAAAACGAUGUGGUAUACAGGCAAAGGAGGAUAUGUGCAUUUUCACUGGAUCUUGUUGUUUGGGCACCUGAGACAAGCUGGCAGUCACUAAAUCUCAGCGAUCACUCAAUGUGUGCCAGGCAUUCGCACACAAUAUCACUAACACCCAUGACAGUCCUUCAAGAGAGGUUCUGCUGUCUGAGAGAUUAUGUGACACGCCUAAGGUCACAGGAUCAGCAAAUACUAGGGCUGAGAUUUAAACCCAGAACUGUCUACUGCCAAAGCUUUUGCGCUCUCCCUCGUGCCACGUUGCUUCUCAUUUUGGGCUUGGUCUCCACUUCCCAGUCCUUGAAGGAGUUCUCCAGGUCUGCCCCAUUAGCACUGCAUCUCAGAAGGAAGCUGCAGCUGCGCCGCCAAUCUCCCGGUGGUAGGUGCUUAAUAAACAUUAUGAAGUGCAUGAACAAAUGAAUAGCCCCUGAUGGACAGACAUGCUUGAGAAACACUAUUUUUCACAUUCCUAUCUACACUCAAGAUUUUACCUAUGAUAGCAGGCUGAAGAUUCCCAGGAUCUUACAUCCUAGCAGGCAAUGCCUCUGCAUCCUCAUCAGCGAAACCGGAUUGAUCUUGCCUGCUUCCCUGGCUUUGAUGGAUGCAACAGAAGAAUAUAUGCAGAAGUCCCUAAUGCAGUGCCUGAUGCAUGAUAAAUGCUCAAAUAUAACAGACAGAAAAUCUGUGUAUGUUGUAUAAGCCCUGCAGUGUGUGGUACUUUGCUUCAACAGCCAAAGCAAAUGAAUACAGCCUCCAUGGUAGGCAAUGGGACAAGGAUUCAGCAUUCAGGAUCCUACCUGUGUCUUCUUCAGGAGGGGACUCCUGGUUUUUGCCUUUCCCUGACUAAGAUGGCCUCCUCCCUUUCACUGUUUCACCUGUGAUCAUUCUCCUCUUCCCGCAAAGUUUGAUUUAAACAUCAUUUCCUCCAAUUACCCUCAGACCUGCAAGUAGGGGUCACUCAGUCCUGCUGUGAGCUCCUGGCAUAUCGUUUACUGCUGGGUCACCUAAGUACCUAGUUGGUCUGCCAGCUCCUAAAUGGCAGAGACCACAUCUUAACACCUGUGUGCUCUCAUUAAGGCCACAAUGAACAUUUCUUAAAUUAAACCUCAUUCUGCCUUUAUCUUAGGUCUCCUGCCUGUCUGAAAGUGUUUGCUAUAUGCAUAAUGAUCUCUCCAGCAUGCUAAGGUCAUCUGCAGCAGCAAAUGUCUCUUAAGGGUUGAUUAUGGGUCCAAGGAUCUGAAAGAUUUUCUAUGUGAUGGAAUUAGGGGGUUUGAAUUCCAAUGUAGAUACUCUGGUGAGGAGGAAUAAAGAUCCUUCCCCUCAUUUAGACCCAAGAGACAGAAAUACUACCACCAGUUGGUGAUCACUGAGGAUCCGUAUUUGUUAGGCAUUGUAUGAACCUUCUCCAUGAACUAUCUUCUUGGUGUCUCAAAACAAUCUUUUGAAAGAGGUACCAAAAUUAUUCCCAUUGUUAUAAUUAUAUGCCCAAUGUCACACAGCAAAGAUAACUGUCCAGGUAGGUCUAUCUUACCCAACAUCUGUGCUUCUUAUCACUCUACUGUAGAUCUCUCAAACGGUAAGUCAAUUGGUAUCAUUAAAAGGAAGGUACAAAAAUCCAGGAACACAUUCAUAAAACUCUUUAGACCCACAACUGGAAAUGCCAGUUGGAUGGUCUUUUAAUUUUUCUGUUUCCCUAGUAACAGAAAUCAUUCUUCAAAAACAAAACAAAACAAAACAAAAAACAACCUUAGAAACAAGUCUGCUUUGUAAAACAGGUAACACAGAACUGCUCCAGGUUGAAGAAGGUUGGGGGAGCUAUGAAAUCUCACCCACCUGUCACUCCCUUCCCACCCAGGUGCCCUUAAAGGCACUCUGAGGCACCAGCUGAUUACACCUUCAUAGUCUGUAGAUGUGGAAAGAAAGGCCUGGAAAGAGGAAAUCAUUUACUAAAGCUCACUCAGCUCAAAAGCGGCAGGGCCAGGAAUUCUAAGUCCCCUGGCUCCGAAGCCAAAGCUCUUUUGACAGUAUUUUGAUGUCUCAUUUGUGACAACUAGGCUUUCUUACUAAGAAGUGCAGAAUUAUAAAAUAAAGUCAACAAAAUCUACAAAGGAUUACUAUACUUCAUCUGAUCUAGGAUUAUAUCAGUUACAAGAUUCACUCCAAUUUGUGAUGUUAAAAAUUCUAGACCUCAGAAUCAAUACAAUGAAAUGUGUCAAGAGUGUUUAUUCCUCUGUCAUUUGGUGCAAGGCACUUCUGUUGAUUCUCCUUUUGUCCUUCACCAUUCUAAGACAUUGGUUCCAAUCUUUGUUUUUGGAUUCAAGUUUCCUUUGGAAUCUGGUGAAAGUUAUGGACACUCUAGCUAGAAAAAUUCACAUUGCAUUGACAUGGUGUGGGAUACAGCCUGACAGUCUCCUGAAGCCAUUCCACAGAACCUAUAUAUUUUAUGUAUUCCUGAUAAGACGUAAGUCCCAUUUGAAGAGCUCAAAUGUUUCCCACUUAUGCUGUUUCUAUGGAAAGGAAAAACAAUCUGCUAUCCAUUUUACAAACACAAAAUUAACCUCUAUGCUAAAGGGUGGAGCUUUAGGGUGAAAGAACAAAGGAGUCAAAGUUACCUCCUGGCCAAGCUAACAGUUUCCCAACCCCCACUGUCAUUCUCUUAGGCAAGGAUCAAAUUUUUUAAAGUUCUUAAAUUUUUGAAAUGAGAAAUCCUAACUAUCAAAAGCAAAAUGAAGCAAGUGAAGCUAAUUGUGUUUAGAGUUAGUGCUUAACCACUCAGAGAAAAGAAUUAUUUCCAUUGACUUCCGGAGCACAGUAAUUUUACAGUACAUCCCUCUAAGAACAAAAAUAGCAACUGGAAAGGAAUUGUAAACUCUUUUCAGUAAUUAUAUUUUCAGUUUAAUAUUGACAUUGUUAUUUCAAACUAUAAGCCUUCAGCAAAGUGUUAUUGGAGAUUUUCAUUGCCUGGAUUUCUGUUAGUUUUAAAGUAGAGAACCAUGGAAGAUGGUCUUAUGAGUUGGAAAAAGAGAAUGAGUGUUCUAAAUCUAUAUCCAUCUCCCAACCAGCUUUGUCUGUCUCUAGGCAAUUACUCCAGAACAAACAUGCUGUAUCACAAGAAUUAUUAAUUUUAUCCUAAAGUAAACAGACUCAUCUCCAAUGAUAAAAGAAAUUAUCUACCCACAUGACUUGACCGAUAUCUUUUUAAGAAAUAUAUCCUUGGUUUUACUAUUGUGUGAUCAAUCUGUCCAGGCUUGCCUGGUACUUGUCUGUUUUUAGCUGGAAAUCCAGUGUCUUGAGAUGAGCCUCACUUCGGGGCAAACAGGGAUGGUUGAUCACUGAUAUGGUUUAGCUGUGUCCCGACACAAAUCUCAAAUUGUAUCUCCCAGAAUUCCCAUGUG
rnacentral:lncRNA from 1 species